rnacentral:rRNA from 1 species
AAACUUGAGCUAAUACCGGAUAAUGACUUCGGUCCAAAGAUUUAUCGCCUAGGGAUGAGCCCGCGUAGGAUUAGCUAGUUGGUGAGGUAAAGGCCCACCAAGGCUACGAUCCUUAGCUGGUCUGAGAGGAUGAUCAGCCACACUGGGACUGAGACGCGGCCCAGACUCCUACGGGAGGCAGCAGUGGGGAAUAUUGGACAAUGGGCGAAAGCCUGAUCCAGCAAUGCCGCGUGAGUGAUGAAGCCUUAGGGUUGUAAAGCUCUUUUACCCGGGAUGAUAAUGACAGUACCGGGAGAAUAAGCUCCGGCUAACUCC